GAUCCUGGCUCAGGAUGAACGCUGGCGGCGUGCUUAACACAUGCAAGUCGAACGAAGCACUUUAUUUGAUUUCCUUCGGGACUGAUUAUUUUGUGACUGAGUGGCGGACGGGUGAGUAACGCGUGGGUAACCUGCCUUGUACAGGGGGAUAACAGUUGGAAACGGCUGCUAAGUACCGCAUAAGCGCACAGCAUCGCAUGAUGCAGUGUGAAAAACUCCGGUGGUAUAAGAUGGACCCGCG
rnacentral:rRNA from 1 species